rnacentral:rRNA from 1 species
AGAGGGGGGGAUCUUCGGACCUCUCGCUGCAGGGGCGGCCGAUGGCAGAUUAGCUAGUUGGUGGGGUAAAGGCCUACCAAGGCGACGAUCUGUAGCUGGUCUGAGAGGACGACCAGCCACACUGGGACUGAGACACGGCCCAGACUCCUACGGGAGGCAGCAGUGGGGAAUUUUGGACAAUGGGGGCAACCCUGAUCCAGCAAUGCCGCGUGUGUGAAGAAGGCCUUCGGGUUGUAAAGCACUUUUGUCCGGAAAGAAAACCCUCUCCUUAAUACCCGGGGCGGAUGACGGUACCGGAAGAAUAAGCACCGGCUAACUACGUGCCAGCAGCCGCGGUAAUACGUAGGGUGCAAGCGUUAAUCGGAAUUACUGGGCGUAAAGCGUGCGCAGGCGGUCCGCUAAGACAGAUGUGAAAUCCCCGGGCUUAACCUGGGAACUGCAUUUGUGACUGGCGGG